rnacentral:rRNA from 1 species
GACGAACGCUGGCGGCGUGCUUAACACAUGCAAGUCGAACGGAAAGGCCUCUUUCGGGGGGUACUCGAGUGGCGAACGGGUGAGUAACACGUGAGUAACCUGCCCUUGACUUUGGGAUAACUUCAGGAAACUGGGGCUAAUACCGGAUAGGAGCUCCUGCUGCAUGGUGGGGGUUGGAAAGUUUCGGCGGUUGGGGAUGGACUCGCGGCUUAUCAGCUUGUUGGUGGGGUAGUGGCUUACCAAGGCUUUGACGGGUAGCCGGCCUGAGAGGAUGACCGGCCACAUUGGGACUGAGAUACGGCCCAGACUCCUACGGGAGGCAGCAGUGGGGAAUAUUGCACAAUGGGUGGAAGCCUGAUGCAGCAACGCCGUGUGCGGGAUGACGGCCUUCGGGUUGUAAACCGCUUUCGCUCAUGACGAAGCUUUGUGUGACGGUAGUGGGUAAAGAAGCACCGGCUAACUACGUG